UUUGUCCAUCCUAAUUAGUAAAUGGAGAAUUCUGCUCAACCCAUAGUUGUUUUUGUGUUACUAUUUCUUUGUAAUGCAAUCAUAGUGGGAUGCAUUCCAUCUAUCGAAGAGAAAGGAAACUCAACAUUGCUAUGGCCUUUUGACCUUCAUCCAACAUUCUUCUCGGCAAGCAAGAACACUACCUUAUAUCAAAAUUCAGAAUUUUCUUAUUAUUCUACUCAUUUCUGGCUAGGAGGAGGUCGUAUUGAUUAUUAUGGCGCACAGGCCUCACCAGAUGUAUAUGGCUUUAAUUUACAUCGUGGCCAAGAACCCGCAGCUGCCAUUUGGAUUGUAGAUAGGGCUUGACAAAACGGAAUUCAAGCUGGAUGGCAUGUAAGUUACCCUUAUCUGGGCAACUAUGAAUAAA